AAAUGCGAUAAGUAAUGUGAAUUGCAGAAUUCAGUGAAUCAUCGGAUCUUUGAACGCACCUUGCGCUCCUUGGUAUUCCUUGGAGCAUGCCUGUUUGAGUAUCAUGAAAUCUUCAAAGUAAAUCUUUUGUUAACUCAAUUGGUUUCUACUUUGGUAUUGGAGGUCUUUGCAGCUUCACACCUGCUCCUCUUUGUUCAUUAGCUGGAUCUCAGUGUUAUGCUUGGUUCCACUCGGCGUGAUAAGUUAUCUAUCGCUGAGGACACUGUAAAAGGUGGCCAAGGUAAAUGCAGAUGAACCGCUUCUAAUAGUCCAUUGACUUGGACAAUACUUUUAUGAUCUGAUCUCAAAUCAGGUAGGACUACCCGCUGAACUUAAGC
rnacentral:misc_RNA from 1 species